rnacentral:misc_RNA from 1 species
GAUGAAGAACGUAGCGAAAUGCGAUAAGUAGUGUGAAUUGCAGAAUUCAGUGAAUCAUCGAAUCUUUGAACGCACAUUGCGCCCGCCAGCAUUCUGGCGGGCAUGCCUGUUCGAGCGUCAUUUCAACCCUCAAGCUCUGCUUGGUGUUGGGGCCCUACGGUUGACGUAGGCCCUUAAAGGUAGUGGCGGACCCUCUCGGAGCCUCCUUUGCGUAGUAACUAACGUCUCGCAUUGGGAUUCGGAGGGACUCUUGCCGUAAAACCCCCAAAUUUUCUAAUGGUUGACCUCGGAUCAGGUAGGAAUACCCGCUGAACUUAAGCAUAUCAAUAAGCGGAGGA